rnacentral:lncRNA from 1 species
UGAGAUAAAUAUAUUUUAUAAAUAAUCAGCAUUAAUAAAUAAAAAUUUGAUGGGAACAACCCUCAAUAUAAAAUCGUUUUAUUUGAAACUGAUCGUUUAUCUGAACUUAUUAUCAGCAUAGUCCCAUUUAGGGAUGCAAAUGGAUCCGGGUUUGUGGAGCUCCGCCCCGAUCCGUCCCGAAUGGGGUGGUAAGUGGAAACAAAAAAUAUAGAAAAAUAUAACCCGCUCCGAAUCCGCCCCGAUCCGCCAAGUAAAUGGAGCGGGAGGCGGGAGGCGGGAGACUCUUUUCUUCCUUCAAUCUAUCCCGAUCCGUUAAAAAUCCGCUCCCGUCCCGCUCCC